UUGCACUUUCCAAGCAGGAGGAGCAGCAGAAAGGUAAGCUCAAUUCCAUAUAGAGAACGUUAAAAUACAAUUCAGCAUGAGUGUAAUGCUUUCUAUAUUGGUGUAUGCUUACUAUGCAACUUCUGUAUGAUGCCAUUUCCUCCCGUGGUUGUAAGCAGUUUUGAGUCUAGUUUGAGAGUUUACUCUCAAAUUGGUAAAUCGUGGAAGAACAUAUGAGGCUGACAGCGACGGAUCAUUCUGGCUUGCUACAGGGAUUCUCAUGCAUGAGGUAAAUAACAGAGCUAUGGAUAAGCAAUACAUGGGAAAGCUACUGGUUGGAUUUUUAAGUUGCGAUGACAACUGCUACGAAUGAGGCCUGUCAGCCCUUUUAAAGAAGCAUAGCCUGGUUGAAUUGAGAAGCUUUCAUCUGUUGAAGGGUUCUAAGUUGGCAAAUGCAAAAAGCUUGAGUAGUAUAUCCUCCCACCAAUCCAUCAGAAGCCUGGAUAUAGGAUGCGUAUCUUUUGAUUUAUAGGAAAGAUGCUGUCACUAGGGGAGCUGCUCCAGCACUGAGUGGUGCAAGAGCUUUGAGAUUUUCUACUUCGAUCAUAUUCUAAUUGGAUGCUAAGUUGUAACAAUCUACUUAAAUUCUAAGAAAACUCUAGUCUACAUGUGUGUUAAGGAUGUAUUCAAUUCUGCAUAUUCUAUAAUGCCAUCUUUAGUUCUGU